rnacentral:lncRNA from 1 species
UGGAAAUAGGGUUUCUGUAAAAGUAUGAAAGGUGAUGUCUAAAAACAACCUAAAUGACAAGUAUUUAUAGUCUUCAAUACUCCAAUGUCUCUAGGGUUCCGGAAUUGAGGCUUGGGAAAUGACUUGGGCUUCAGAAAUGGGCUUCUUAGGUCGGAGAUGAAGGCUUGGCCGCGGUUGCGUGGGCUGUGACCGAGGGGAAUGAAGGCUUGGCCGCGGUCGCGUGGCUCUUGCCGCGGUGGAUGGGCUGCUGGCCGCAGUCCCGUGGCUUGCUGUCCCUCUUCGAGUGUCUCCAGGGCAAAUGGAAUAUCUUGAGAUCCAACCGUUGGAAUGUCUCCAAACCAAGUGCAUUUGAAAGCUGGUUGGGUCUUCUAUUAAUUUUCCAAUUUUGAGGGUGGUCAGACGGUGGGAAGGUCUUCGUCUCUCCAUGAGAGUUCUGACGGUCUGCAUUUAUCCAAAAGAGUCUUUUUGUUCCAAUUUGCACAUCUUUAUCCCAAAUUACCUAAAAAGUC